GACGAACGCUGGCGGCGUGCUUAACACAUGCAAGUCGAACGGAAAGGCCUCUUUCGGGGGGUACUCGAGUGGCGAACGGGUGAGUAACACGUGAGUAACCUGCCCUUGACUUUGGGAUAACUUCAGGAAACUGGGGCUAAUACCGGAUAGGAGCUCCUGCUGCAUGGUGGGGGUUGGAAAGUUUCGGCGGUUGGGGAUGGACUCGCGGCUUAUCAGCUUGUUGGUGGGGUAGUGGCUUACCAAGGCUUUGACGGGUAGCCGGCCUGUGAGGGUGACCGGCCACAUUGGGACUGAGAUACGGCCCAGACUCCUACGGGAGGGAGCAGUGGGGAAUAUUGCACAAUGGGUGGAAGCCUGAUGCAGCGACGCCGGGGGCGGGAUGACGGCCUUCGGGUUGUAAACCGCUUUCGCUCAUGACGAAGCUUUGUGUGACGGUAGUGGGUAAAGAAGCACCGGCUAACUACGUG
rnacentral:rRNA from 1 species